UUAACAAACCCACAAAGCAAACAGGUUUCUCAUCAGAGAAGGGAGUAGUAAAAUCAGAAUUUAGGUCAAUGCAGAGUUACUCCUCAGAAAUGGCUGCAUUCCAAUCAAGCAUACAAUGUAAUGCUGCUUCUCAACCCAGUUAUAAUCACUACAAUAAUCAACCACCUCCAUAUAUGAGGGAGCAAAGAAGGUCAGAUGAUGGA
rnacentral:misc_RNA from 1 species